GAUGGGGAGGCUAUAAUGCAGUCGAACGAGAUUAAGGGGCUUGCUCCUUAUGAAAGUGGCGCACGGGUGCGUAACGCGUAUGCAACCUACCUCAAUCAGGGGGAUAGCCCGAAGAAAUUCGGAUUAACACCGCAUAAAAACACAGGAUAGCAUUAUCUAAUGUUCAAAUAUUUAUAGGAUUGAGAUGGGCAUGCGUGUCAUUAGCUAGUUGGCGGGGUAACGGCCCACCAAGGCGACGAUGACUAGGGGAUCUGAGAGGAUGACCCCCCACACUGGUACUGAGACACGGACCAGACUCCUACGGGAGGCAGCAGUAAGGAAUAUUGGUCAAUGGAGGCAACUCUGAACCAGCCAUGCCGCGUGCAGGAAGACAGCCCUCUGGGUCGUAAACUGCUUUUAUUCGGGAAUAAACCUAUUUACGUGUAGAUAGCUGAAUGUACCGAAGGAAUAAGGAUCGGCUAACUCCGUGCCAGCAGCCGCGGUAAUACGGAGGAUCCAAGCGUUAUCCGGAUUUAUUGGGUUUAAAGGGUGCGUAGGCGGCUUAUUAAGUCAGGGGUGAAAGACGGUGGCUCAACCAUCGCAGUGCCUUUGAUACUGAUGAGCUUGAAUGAACUAGAGGUAGGCGGAAUGUGACAAGUAGCGGUGAAAUGCAUAGAUAUGUCACAGAACACCGAUUGCGAAGGCAGCUUACUAUGGUUUUAUUGACGCUGAGGCACGAAAGCGUGGGGAUCAAACAGGAUUAGAUACCCUGGUAGUCCACGCCCUAAACGAUGAAUACUCGCUGUUAGCGAUAUACAGUUAGCGGCUAAGCGAAAGCGUUAAGUAUUCCACCUGGGGAGUACGCCCGCAAGGAUGAAACUCAAAGGAAUUGACGGGGGCCCGCACAAGCGGAGGAGCAUGUGGUUUAAUUCGAUGAUACGCGAGGAACCUUACCCGGGCUUGAAAGUUAGUGAAUGAUCUAGAGAUAGAUCAGUGAGCAAUCACACGAAACUAGGUGCUGCAUGGCUGUCGUCAGCUCGUGCCGUGAGGUGUUGGGUUAAGUCCCGCAACGAGCGCAACCCCUUAUGUUUAGUUGCCAGCACGUAAAGUUGG
rnacentral:rRNA from 1 species